UAAAUCUUUAAUGCAGUCCCGUGAGGCUGGUAAGAUGAUAAUAAAUUACUGAAUUGUAAUUGAUUGUAAUUAUUAUAACUUCUUGCGGCCCACGUAAGAAGUUUUUUUAAU
rfam:Alkaliphilus oremlandii OhILAs, complete genome.